rnacentral:lncRNA from 1 species
GUGUGGGAUCCACAAAAAUGUUGUUCUAGUGUUACUCGUUGUUGUUCUAUUGUUACACCUUGUACAGAUGAUGUUACACCUUGUACAGAUGAUGUUACACCGUAUGCAAAUGAUGUUACACCUUCCGGAACGGUUGCUCUAACAACCGUUCCAGCCCCAGAUCCCAUUCUCACAUAGGCAUGUAAAAAGGUAGAAUCCCAUUUCAGACGGAAGUGGCAAAAAUAUCUUCAUUUAUUUUCUUGCAACAUUCAAGUACAGAGUCACAAGAAAGACCAAGACUGAGGAGUGAAAGAGUGAUUCUUUCCAACAACUGAAUGACACGUGGUGGACAUGGUGACCACGGUUCGAGUCCUAGGGAUAACGUAUAGGGGAUUGGGCCUCUCUUCUUGAAUACCUUGGGAAUGAAUGAUUUACUCUUGGAAAACUCCAUAGGUUUAAACUCAUUUCUCCAUUGUCGUGUAUGUUGGUCUGUACCAACUACAAAGUUGCCUGAUAAUCGAAUAUUUAAUUAUGAAGUCAAGUCGUCUAUUGAGUCUUUA